UUCCUGCAAAACCGGACGAUC
rnacentral:piRNA from 1 species